CGUGAAGAAAAGUUGAAAAGUACUUUGAAGAGUUAACGAGUACGUGAAACCGUUCAGAGGUAAACCUAAGAAACCCAAAAAAUCGAACGGGGAGAUUCAUCGUCAACGAAACUGGCUUCGCGUCGGUGGGCGAUAACCCCGCGGUGUGUCCUAAGCGGCACGCGCGUGCGGGCACGCUACCGAACGCCGAUGUCCGGUUUUCGUCGUCGUGCACUUCUCUCCUAGUAGAACGUCGCGACUCGCUGUGUGUCGGUCACCGACCCGGGUGCGGUUACUGUCACGUCGCCCGUAAAAACGGCGCGCGGCAAAC
rnacentral:rRNA from 1 species